GACGAACGCUGGCGGCGUGCUUAACACAUGCAAGUCACGGGGGCCCGCAAGGGCAACCGGCGAACGGGUGCGUAACACGUGAGCAACCUGCCUAGAUGUGGGGGAUAGCCGGCCCAACGGCCGGGUAAUACCGCAUACGGUCACGAGGAGGAGUCUCCUUGUGAAGAAACCUCCGGGGCAUUUAGAGGGGCUCGCGGCCUAUCAGCUAGUUGGCGGGGUAAUGGCCCACCAAGGCUUCGACGGGUAGCUGGUCUGAGAGGAUGGCCAGCC
rnacentral:rRNA from 1 species